UAAGACGGAGGGCGCAAGCGUUGUUCGGAAUUACUGGGCGUAAAGGGCGGGCAGGUGGUCUGUUAAGUCGUUUGUGAAAAUCCGGGGCUCAACCCCGUGAAAUGCAAGCGAAACUGGCAGACUGGAGACCAGUAGAGGCUAGCGGAAUUCCUGGUGUAGCGGUGGAAUGCGUAGAUAUCAGGAAGAACACCUGUGGCGAAGGCGGCUAGCUGGGCUGGAUCUGACACUCAUCCGCGAAAGCGUGGGGAGCAAACAGGAUUAGAUACCCUGGUAGUCCACGCCGUAACGAUGGGCACUAGGUGCCGGGUCUAUAGACGGAUUCGGUGCCGUAGCUAACGCAUUAAGUGCCCCGCCUGGGGAGUACGGUCGCAAGGCUG
rnacentral:rRNA from 1 species